rnacentral:rRNA from 1 species
AACGAACGCUGGCGGCAGGCCUAACACAUGCAAGUCGAGCGCCCUUUCGGGGGAGCGGCGGACGGGUGAGUACCGCGUGGGCAUAUGCCCUUCUCUACGGAAUAGCCUCGGGAAACUGAGAGUAAUACCGUAUACGCCCUGUGGGGGAAAGAUUUAUCGGGGAAGGAUUAGCCCGCGUUGGAUUAGGUAGUUGGUGGGGUAAUGGCCUACCAAGCCGACGAUCCAUAGCUGGUUUGAGAGGAUGAUCAGCCACACUGGGACUGAGACACGGCCCAGACUCCUACGGGAGGCAGCAGUGGGGAAUCUUAGACAAUGGGGGCAACCCUGAUCUAGCCAUGCCGCGUGAGUGAUGAAGGCCUUAGGGUUGUAAAGCUCUUUCAGCUGGGAAGAUAAUGACGGUACCAGCAGAAGAAGCCCCGGCUAACUCCGUG